rnacentral:lncRNA from 1 species
GCUGAUUUAAAUGGAAACUCAAAAAACCCACCACGUCACCAGAUCUGAUGAAUAAUUUGUAACGGAUAAAACCUUUAAAUGGAAACUUGCAAGUGAUAGCCAUUCCCGCUAUCACUUUCUCGCAAUGCUCUCAAUAUCAUUGUUCAGUUCAGUGGCAUGGAUAUUGAUAUCGAGAAGAAACCGUCGAGUAAAAUCGCCGGGAAACCAAUUCGAUUACAGAGGUAGUGAUUGCAAACAAAUAUAAAGAUAAUAAUUAAUAUUUUCAUUUUCUCAAAAGUCAUCCGUAUUUCUCGUCCUGGUCGUGAAAAUCUGCGGCCGCAUUUGCUAGAGCGGCAGGGGGCAGGAGAGCCUCUUGACGUAUAGAAGAGGUUAUUGUGGACGCUCCAAAAACGCACGAAGUUCGACUACGGAUCACCUGUACGAGCGACAUCACAUUCUGGAAAAUGAAGGUCUCUAAUAGAUAUCCUACAACUAUUAUCUUCAAUUUGCUGAAAUAAAUUUAAGCUUUAUGCUAUGAUCUUACAAAUCCGUUCAACACGUCAUAAGGGAGAAAGGCAGGAUUUUACCUUGGUUGGCCAUGAAAUGGACUUGCUGCUCAGCUUGUUUAUGGCCCGUGAAUUCAGCCUUCUGUUCUUCUAAUUUGUAGCAAGUCUUGGCUUCAAUCGCAGCUGCAAAAUCAAGCUACUCAUUCACUGUACAUACACGCACGGUGGGAGAGAGAGGAGAAAAG